GCUGGCGGCAUGCCUAACACAUGCAAGUCGAACGGAAACGAUGGGAGCUUGCUCCCAGGCGUCGAGUGGCGGACGGGUGAGUAAUACUUAGGAAUCUACCCAGUAGCGGGGGACAACUCGGGGAAACUCGAGCUAAUACCGCAUACGCUCUACGGAGGAAAGCAGGGGAUCUUCGGACCUUGCACUAUUGGAUGAGCCUAAGUCGGAUUAGCUAGUUGGUGAGGUAAAGGCUCACCAAGGCGACGAUCCGUAGCUGGUCUGAGAGGACGAUCAGCCACACUGGGACUGAGACACGGCCCAGACUCCUACGGGAGGCAGCAGUGGGGAAUAUUGGACAAUGGGGGCAACCCUGAUCCAGCAAUGCCGCGUGUGUGAAGAAGGCCUGCGGGUUGUAAAGCACUUUCAGUAGAGAAGAAAAGCCUAGGGUUAAUACCCCUGAGUCUCGACGUUACCUACAGAAGAAGCUCCGGCUAACUCCGUGCCAGCAGCCGCGGUAAUACGGAGGGAGCGAGCGUUAAUCGGAAUUACUGGGCGUAAAGCGCGCGUAGGCGGCUUUGUAAGUCGGAUGUGAAAGCCCUGGGCUCAACCUGGGAAUGGCAUUCGAUACUGCAUAGCUAGAGUAUGGUAGAGGGAAGUGGAAUU
rnacentral:rRNA from 1 species